rnacentral:rRNA from 1 species
GACGAACCGUGCAAACGUUAUUCGGAAUCACUGGGCUUAAAGGGCGCGUAGGCGGGUUGGCCAGUCCGGGGUGAAAGCCCCCAGCUUAACUGGGGAAGCGCCUUGGAUACUGCCAGUCUCGAGGGAGGCAGGGGCGUGCGGAACUUCCGGUGGAGCGGUGAAAUGCGUAGAUAUCGGAAGGAACACCGAUGGCGAAAGCAGCGCGCUGGACCUCUUCUGACGCUGAGGCGCGAAAGCCAGGGGAGCAAACGGG